rnacentral:rRNA from 1 species
AGUGAACGCUGGCGGUAGGCCUAACACAUGCAAGUCGAACGGCAGCACAGUAAGAGCUUGCUCUUACGGGUGGCGAGUGGCGGACGGGUGCGGAAUACAUCGGAAUCUACUUUUUCGUGGGGGAUAACGUAGGGAAACUUACGCUAAUACCGCAUACGACCUACGGGUGAAAGCAGGGGAUCUUCGGACCUUGCGCGAUUGAAUGAGCCGAUGUCGGAUUAGCUAGUUGGCGGGGUAAAGGCCCACCAAGGCGACGAUCCGUAGCUGGUCUGAGAGGAUGAUCAGCCACACUGGAACUGAGACACGGUCCAGACUCCUACGGGAGGCAGCAGUGGGGAAUAUUGGACAAUGGUCGCAAGCCUGAUCCAGCCAUACCGCGUGGGUGAAGAAGGCCUUCGGGUUGUAAAGCCCUUUUGUUGGGAAAGAAAAGCAGCAGGUUAAUACCCCGCUGUUCUGACGGUACCCAAAGAAUAAGCACCGGCUAACUUCGUG